UUUAGGUAGCGCCUCGUGAAUUCAUCUCCGGGGGUAGAGCACUGUUUCGGCUAGGGGGCCAUCCCGGCUUACCAACCCGAUGCAAACUGCGAAUACCGGAGAAUGUUAUCACGGGAGACACACGGCGGGUGCUAACGUCCGUCGUGAAGAGGGAAACAACCCAGACCGCCAGCUAAGGUCCCAAAGUCAUGGUUAAGUGGGAAACGAUGUGGGAAGGCCCAGACAGCCAGGAUGUUGGCUUAGAAGCAGCCAUCAUUUAAAGAAAGCGUAAUAGCUCACUGGUCGAGUCGGCCUGCGCGGAAGAUGUAACGGGGCUAAACCAUGCACCGAAGCUGCGGCAGCGACACUGUGUGUUGUUGGGUAGGGGAGCGUUCUGUAAGCCUGUGAAGGUGUGUCGUGAGGCAUGCUGGAGGUAUCAGAAGUGCGAAUGCUGACAUAAGUAACGAUAAAGCGGGUGAAAAGCCCGCUCGCCGGAAGACCAAGGGUUCCUGUCCAACGUUAAUCGGGGCAGGGUGAGUCGACCCCUAAGGCGAGGCCGAAAGGCGUAGUCGAUGGGAAACGGGUUAAUAUUCCCGUACUUGGUGUUACUGCGAAGGGGGGACGGAGAAGGCUAUGUUGGCCGGG
rnacentral:rRNA from 1 species